rnacentral:miRNA from 1 species
CGUCUCUUGAUGGUUUACUUAAU